rnacentral:rRNA from 1 species
GUUCGCAUGUGUGGCCGGGGCUGCCGGGAAAAGGCGGGGACGUUCUCCGGGAGAAAAGUCUAGGCACGGCACGGCACGGCAAGGACCAUGGGGGAUGAGCGAUAAUCAUGGUCAUCAUCAUUAAUCGUCGCGGAUUAGUUCGAACGGUAGGAAAGACCACGCGAAGAAUAUAGAACGAGGGGAGAGCGAAGAGGGUGUAAACCCAAAGCGAGUGGCACCGGCAGGCGAGGCGAGACGAGGCUCCUCUCAGAUGGCGAGGGUCGACGAAGUGACUGGGAGGUCACUAGCUAGAGGAUGAGGUUCCAUCCCCUCUCCUCCUCCUCGUUACCCCCUCUCGCUCAUGGCCACGACCCUCCUCGAAGACGGCCUGCGCGACCCCGAGCAGAAGGCGUUGGACGGCGACGUCCUCCACGACUGCCACCACGGCGCCCACACGUUCAGGACCCCCGCGCAGCACCGGCCCGGGAUGACGACCGUCCUCUAGCUGUAGCUCCUCACCUCGGUCGUCGCCGUGUCGGCGGGCCUGGUGGAGCAGGCGUACGAGCUGGACGAGGAGGCGGCGUCAAGGCCGCGGACGGCGGCGUAGACGCAGAGGCCGGAGGGGACGCUGGGCGAGAAGAGGAAGUAGCCGCUGGUGCGCGCGCGAGACUCCUGCGACCUCUAGGGCGCCUCGCUCUAGUCGCUGCGGCACCACCUCCGCCACCGCGGCCCCGACGGGUUGGAGUGCAAGGACCUGCAGUCGUCGACGUGGUUCUAGCCGCGCGCGCGCGACCUCCGCAAGCCGGCGGUGACGGCCAGGGACCGCCGCGAGGCCGCGCACUACGUGGGCUAGCUGCACCGGCCCGCGUUGCGCACGCCCGUCGUGCUGCUCCGGGCGCGGUAGCGCGCGUGGUACGGCCGCGAGGCGGUGGACCUCCAACCGAUGUACGACCAGUGGUGCCUCCGGUAGGACCUCCACGAGAGGGCCACGGCCCCGGACCUCAAGCAGCUGGACGCGCCGACGACCCGGCAGCUGCUCCGCGACGACGCCCUCGCGGUGGGCGCCGAGUCGCAGGAGCCGGGCCCGCAGCUGCUGACGAAGCUCUUGUCGAUGACCCUCCUCACGAGGCUGCUGCUGCUGCUGCUGAGACUGCUGCUGCUGCUGCAGAUGAGCACCCUCGAGUACCUGCUGCUGCUCAUGAUGCCGCACCAGCCGUCGCUGCUGCUGCUGCUCCGCCACACCCCGCUGCCCGGCCCGGAGCACCUCUUGGAGCUCCACGCCAAGAUGCCGCCGCCGAAGUCGCUCUCGAUGCGGCCGAAGCUGACCGGUCGCAGCGGCACUGUCAGUGUGAGGGCCGGCAAGCACGAGUGGAACUGGCGUUUUCUUCAGUUCGUAGAAAGAGCAAGAGCUGCAAGGAUGCCAGCAACCGCAAGUCUAUACGCAAACACACGCACGGUCAUCAUUAGGCACACACACACACACUACAUUUGAAUUAGACCACAGUUCAAGUUUUUUUGAAUUAGACUUACAAAUG